CAUAUCAACUCAGUGACAUGGCCAGCAAACAGUCCGGAUCUCAAUCCAAUUGAAAAUUUAUGGUGGAAAUU